rnacentral:rRNA from 1 species
UUGGAGGGCAAGUCUGGUGCCAGCAGCCGCGGUAAUUCCAGCUCCAAUAGCGUAUAUUAAAGUUGUUGUGGUUAAAAAGCUCGUAGUUGAACCUUGGGCCUGGCUGGCCGGUCCGCCUCACCGCGUGUACUGGUCCGGCCGGGCCUUUCCCUCUGUGGAACCCCAUGCCCUUCACUGGGUGUGGCGGGGAAACAGGACUUUUACUGUGAAAAAAUUAGAGUGCCCCAGGCAGGCCCAUGCUCGAAUAUAUUAGCAUGGAAUAAUAGAAUAGGACGUGUGG